AGUAACGCGUAAACAACCUGCCCAACGGAUGGGGACAACAGACGGAAACGACUGCUAAUACCGCAUACGAUCUGACCUCGGCAUCGAGGAUAGAUGAAAGGUGGCCUCUACAUGUAAGCUAUCACUGAAGGAGGGGAUUGCGUCUGAUUAGCUAGUUGGAGGGGUAACGGCCCACCAAGGCGAUGAUCAGUAGCCGGUCUGAGAGGAUGAACGGCCACAUUGGGACUGAGACACGGCCCAGACUCC
rnacentral:rRNA from 1 species